rnacentral:ncRNA from 1 species
ACUCUAGUCCGACUUUAAUAAAUGACUUGAGAGGUGUAGGAUAAGUGGGAGCAGAAAGGCGAAAGUGAAAUACCACUACUUUUAACAUUAUUUUACUAAUUCCGUGAAUCGAAAGCGGGGCACUGCCCCUCUUUUAGGACCCAAGGCCCGUCUCGGCGGGCCGAUCCGAGCGGAAGACAUUGUCAGGUGGGGAAU